rnacentral:rRNA from 1 species
UACAGAGGUCUCAAGCGUUUGUUCGGAUUCAUUGGGCGUAAAGGGUGCGUAGGCGGCGCGGUAAGUCGGGUGUGAAAUCUUGGAGCUUAACUCCGAAACUGCAUUCGAUACUGCCGUGCUUGAGGACUGGAGAGGAGACUGGAAUUUACGGUGUAGCGGUGAAAUGCGUAGAUAUCGUAAGGAAGACCAGUGGCGAAGGCGGGUCUCUGGACAGUUCCUGACGCUGAGGCACGAAGGCCAGGGGAGCAAACGGGAUUAGAAC